GUUCCUGUGUGUCCAGGGGGCGAGCGAGGUCCCCUGAUUCCUGGUACGGGGCUCGGGCCUGGGGCGCGGCCGCACCCCUCACCCACGGCGGCGCGGGGGCCCAGCCGCUGGGAACGCCCUCCCGGGAUGAAGCGCUUCCCGGUGCGUUCAAGGUAGCUCGGCUUUGGAUCGGGAACCCUCCCUAGUCCUUCCUCCCUGGUCCCCGCUAUUCAGAAGAUGUCCCUAAUCAUCCUGGGUCGGGUUGGAGAUAGCCCAGUGCCCCCCAAUCCCUACACCUUCCAACUGUUUCUGGACCCCACCAGGAAUUAAUGAGCUGGGAUAGUAAGAGCAGGUCACCGGGAGUCAGAUGACCCCGUAAGGUUGGUCUCAGGAUCCCGGCUGCCUUGGAUGGGUCUAGAACUUCACGAGGAAGCCUCCUAAGCUCGGUGUCUUCCCAGGGUUGCUUUGGUGCUGAGAUCGUGUCUUUGGAAGCACCCCGAAUCUCUGAAGUGUGUGGGAAGAGAAGGGAGCUCUCUGUGCAUUCCCUGGUCCAGUUAAUCUGGUCCAGUUCCAAUUCAGUUACUAUCAAGACAGAAGUGGACAGCUCCCAGGAGUCCCAGCAUGUACAAGUAGCCCUCUGGGUUCAAUCCCCAGCACCGAGGGAAAAGAAGAGAAAGAGAAAGGGACCAUGUGUAGCAUUAUCCUACCUCGAGAUCUACAGAUCAAUAGGAGAGAGCUGACAAUUUAGCAGUAAGCUCUUGUGGGCUGCACAGAGGGCUCAUCCAUUAAAGGCACUCGCUGCUCUUCCAGAGGACCUGAAUUCGAUUCCCAGCACGACGCACAUCUAGAAGCUUAUAACCACCUGUAACUUCAGCUCCAGGGAUCUAUCUGACUUCCCCGGUCUCUGAGGCCACCUCCACUCACAUGUACGCAUGACACAACACACACACACACACACACACACACACAGAUUAAACACACAGAUUAAAAUAAAUAUUGUUUAAAAGGAAA